AACGUAGGUCCCGAGCGUUAUCCGGAUUUACUGGGCGUAAAGCGUGUUCAGGCGGUCUAGCAAGUCGGGCAUGAAAUCUCUCGGCUCAACCGGGAGGGGUUGUCCGAUACUGCUGGGCUUGAGGGCAGCAGAGGGUGGUGGAAUUCCGGGUGUAGUGGUGAAAUGCGUAGAGAUCGGAAAGAACACCAACGGCGAAAGCACUCUGCUGGGCCGACACUGACACUGAGAGACGAAAGCUAGGGGAGCGAAUGGG
rnacentral:rRNA from 1 species